rnacentral:rRNA from 1 species
UACGUAGGGUGCGAGCGUUGUCCGGAAUUACUGGGCGUAAAGAGCUCGUAGGCGGUUUGUCACGUCGGCCGUGAAAACCUGCAGCUUAACUGUGGGCGUGCGGUCGAUACGGGCAUCACUGGAGUUCGGCAGGGGAGACUGGAAUUCCUGGUGUAGCGGUGAAAUGCGCAGAUAUCAGGAGGAACACCGGUGGCGAAGGCGGGUCUCUGGGCCGAUACUGACGCUGAGGAGCGAAAGCGUGGGGAGCAAACAGG